rnacentral:rRNA from 1 species
AUUGGACGCUGGCGGCAUGCUUUACACAUGCAAGUCGAACGGUAACAGGCCGCAAGGUGCUGACGAGUGGCGAACGGGUGAGUAAUGCAUCGGAACGUGCCCAGUCGUGGGGGAUAACGCAGCGAAAGCUGUGCUAAUACCGCAUACGAUCUAUGGAUGAAAGCGGGGGACCGUAAGGCCUCGCGCGAUUGGAGCGGCCGAUGUCAGAUUAGGUAGUUGGUGGGGUAAAGGCUCACCAAGCCAACGAUCUGUAGCUGGUCUGAGAGGACGACCAGCCACACUGGGACUGAGACACGGCCCAGACUCCUACGGGAGGCAGCAGUGGGGAAUUUUGGACAAUGGGCGCAAGCCUGAUUCAGCAAUGCCGCGUGCAGGAAGAAGGCCUUCGGGUUGUAAACUGCUUUUGUACGGAGCGAAAAGGUUUGGGUUAAUACCCUGGGCCGAUGACGGUACCGUAAGAAUAAGCACCGGCUAACUACGUGCCAGCAGCCGCAGUAA